UUUAAUUUAUGGUUUCAAUUUAAUUUAAAUAAAAUCUUUUUAACUAUAUUGAACUUCAUACAAAAUACGUACCUAUUUAUUUUUAAUUCGUUCCAAAUUCAAAUUUGGUGUUAUGUACAAUAAUGGCGCGAUUCAUUUUGUUUUUCACAAGAGCCUGUGGCUCGCUAUUGCAAAUUAAAACAUAGUGUGAGUGAUCUUAGAGUCAUUAAAUAUUGUGAAGUGCUUAAUUAACGGUAUAUUAGUGAUUAAUAGAACUGUGUAUCUGUGAAAAACUAUAAGAAGGCAGUGUACAAGAUGAAACAUUCAAGGCAUAGCUACGGUGGACUCGCCUUUAGUUCAAUCAGUGUUUUCCAUAGCUGUCGUCGUAUUUCACUGCGUGGUUUCAAUUUACACAAUAUUUGAUGUGUUUCUCAGACAGACGGUGGUUAAAUAUUCUUAUACAAAUAACAUGGUUGCCGUUCUACUGUAUCACACCAUUGCAAUUACUGCAUUAUUAAUAUCUGGUCAAAGCGUCAAAAAUGAAGUUGGGACACUCAACAAAGCGCUGGCAAGACUUAUUCUAAAAGUUUCCACACGUAAGUCAACAAUUAAGU